ensembl:misc_RNA Y_RNA Y RNA
GGCUGGUCCCAGUGCAGUGAUGUUUACAAUUACUUGAUCAAACCAGUUACAGAUUUCUUUAUUCCCCCUCCACUCCCACUGCUUCACUUGACUGGCCUAAA